rnacentral:rRNA from 1 species
AUAGAGACUCAGAGCUGCAUAUCAAUAAGCGGAGGAAAAGAAACUAACUAGGAUUCCCUCAGUAACGGCGAGUGAAGCGGGAAGAGCUCAAAUUUGAAAUCUUCAAGGUUCUACCUUGACGAAUUGUAGUUUAAAGAAGUGUUUUCUGUUGGAGUUUUGGUAAAAGUUCUUUGGAAUAGGACAUCAUAGAGGGUGAGAAUCCCGUAUUUGACCAUUAUUUCCAGCUUUGUGAUACACUUUCAAAGAGUCGGAUUGUUUGGGAAUGCAGUCCAAAAUGGGUGGUAAAUUUCAUCUAAAGCUAAAUAUUGGCGAGAGACCGAUAGCGAACAAGUACCGUGAGGGAAAGAUGAAAAGAACUUUGAAAAGAGAGUUAAACAGUACGUGAAAUUGCCAAAAGGGAAGCGUUUGACACCAGUGUUGUUUUUCCGAAAAUCAAUUACGAAUGGCUUGAUUCUGUGUUGUAUUGACCUUAUCAGCUUUCUUCACUUUUUUCGAGUCUUUCUUAAUGCACUUUUCGGUUAACAAGUCAACAUCAAUUUCUUUUGUUGUAAAAGAGUAUUCGGAAGGUGGCUUUCUUUUCGGAGAAAGUGUUUAUAGCCCUAUACUUCUACAAUCGGAGAGAUUGAGGUCUGCAGCGUAGAUCCUUCGGGGUUAGAUACACUUGUGCUAAGUUGUAGCUUUUCAUAGACAACUUGUUGACUAUGUUUAGUCAUUGGGACUUACUCGCUUAUGCUAUUUUACCUACGCUUAGGAUGUUGAAGUCAUCGUAUCGCG